rnacentral:lncRNA from 1 species
AAAGUAAAGUGGGUGGGUGAAAGAAUGAAAAAAAGAAAAAAGAAAACACAAAAAAAAAGAGGAAAGGAAAGGGGGAAAAAAUAGAAGCGUAAAAAAGAAUAAAAGCAAACAUAUAAAUAAAAAAAAAUAACAAAAGCAAGAGAGCAUAGUGGAACACGGAAAAAUAAUAAAAAAGAAAAAAAAAAGAAGGAAAAAAGAAGAAGCAGAAAUAAAAAGAAGGGGCGCGAGCGGAAGUGAUUAAUCCGGAUCGAUGCGAUCAAGAAUGUCAUAAAGGUCGGGGCAUGCAUGGAGGUUGCUUUUUUUCGAGGUCAAGCGGAUAUCCAAAACGAGCGUCACGACGACGAUUUAAUUCGGUGGUCGCGCGUGGCGCGUAAAGUGGACCGACCAACGGACGUACGGAUGGAUGGAUGGACGUACGAACGGAUGGAACGAACGGACGGACGAACGAUGGAACGAACGAGAACGCGCGUUACGGGAUGCUCCUCUCCUAUGUCGAAGGUAUUUUUUUUUCUCUCUCUCUCCGUUUAUAUCUAUGUCUCUCAUUCUCUCAGUCAGUCCUCCGUGGGUCUCUCGCGUGACUCUACUCUUCUUCUUCUUUUUUUUUUUUUCCGCGUAGCAGUUAUCCUCCCUUACCCUGCGCACCACCCUCCCGACAAAACAAUUGAUUAGGAGGAUGGCUUGCUAAGGGGUGGAAGGGUAGGACGGUUACUCGCUUGCGUGGAAGGGGGAUGUGCAAGAGGAUGAGGUAAAAGAAGAGGUAGAGGAGUUGGAGGAUGAGGAUGAGGAUGAGGAUGAGUAGGGGGAAGAAGGGAGAUUGGCGCAAUACAACGCGCGGAGCCUGGAUGAGAGAGAUGAAGUGGCAGAUUAACGUCAACCGACGUGGGCCAUUCAUAACGGGGCUCUUUCGCCGGUGUGCGCCCGCCGCGCACGUAUGUACGAACUCUCCGCUACGACGAUUUAUAGAAUUGGAAAAACGAUAUCGGAAAAAUAGUAAACUUUAUUGAUGAAUCCCUUCUACCGGAGGCUCUCUAAGCGAUAUCGCGUGGAACUGCUACUGCUACUGCUACUGCUGCUGCUGGUGGUACUGGUACUGGUACUGGUGGUGGUACUGGUUGGUGGUGCUGGUACCGUGGAGGUGGAGGUGGAGGUGGCGGCCCAGAGAGAGUCCGACCACAUUCCCGCGGUGCUACAGGUGGCAUAUAUCUGAACAUACUGGGCAACACGCAUAAGGACAUUCUAAGAUAUCUGAACAUUUCCACAGCACCCACGUAUACAGAAGGAAUUCUCUGAGCAGGCAUUCGACAAAGUCCGGCAUUGGACCGACCAAAUGGCAACGGCGACGUCCGUUCAUGAGUCAUUUGCAUUAUAUACGGUAAACACGAGUUCGGACGAAAAUCUACGAAGAAAUACUUUAGAACGUAAAUUUCAAGGUGAACAACGACGACAACUAUACCUCUAUCACCUAGAAGAAAUUAUUCUGAUCUUUGUAUUAUUCAAUUAUAAAAAAAAUUAAAGAGAGAGAGAGAGAGAGAGACAGAGAGAGAGAGAUAAGAAUCAGGAAAAAAAAUGGAAAAAUUAAAUGACGCGAUGAUAAUUGAUAGCAAAUGAUGGAGUUAUAGAAAAGACAGCAAAAAAAAAAAAAGAAAAAAAAAGAAAUUGCGAACAAUAACGCAUACUUGAGUCUGAGGAAUUCUUUUAAUCAUCUCUUGUCGUGUUUAACAUUAAUCUUACCGAUUUCGUCAUACAUUCGUGCUUAUUUACGUAUGCAUAUAAUUGUAUAUGUGUGUGUGUGUGUGUAGGGUUGGCCAAUAAGUCCGUGCGGUUGUUUUUCUGAUGCGAGUAAAUGAACGACAAAAAAAGAGCACGAACUUAUCAAUCGAUUACUAAAAUAUUGGAUUGUUCUACAAAAAAAUUUCGUAAUAUUUCUUAUCAACUUUU